GUGCCAGCCGCCGCGGUAAUUCCAGCUCCAAUAGCGUAUAUUAAAGUUGUUGCAGCUCAAAAAGCUCGAUAGCUUGAACUUACAGAGCUUGGACGGGCGGUCCGCCUCACGGUGUGUACUGUCUGACUCGAGUCUUACCUCUAUGCGUGAACCGCGCGUGCCCUUUAUUGGUGUGCGUSGGGGAACCAGGACUUUUACGCUUGAGAAAAUCUAGAGUGUUCAAAGCAGGCCUAUGUCCUGUAAUACAUUAGCAUGGAAUAAUAAAAUAGGACGUGCGGUUCUAUUUUGUUGRGUUUCUAGAGUCGCCGUAWAUGUAUWUAAUAGGGAUAGUUGGGGGCAUUKGUAUUUARUCGCUAGAGGUGAAAUUCUUGGAUUGACUCAAGACCGACUAUUGCGAAASAUUUGCCAAGGAUGUUUUCAUUAAUCAAGAACGAAGGUUAGGGGAUCGAAAACGAUCAGAUACCGUUGUAGUCUUAACAGUAAACUAUGCCGACUAGGGAUCGGGCGACCUCAAAUUUKAUGCGUCGCUCGGCACCUUACGAGAAAUCAAAGUCUUUGGGUUCUGGGGGAGUAUGGUCGCAAGGCUGAAACUUAAAGGAAUUGACGGAAGGGCACCACCAGGUGUGGGACUGCGGCUUAAUUURACUCAACACGGGGAAACUCACCAGGUCCAGACAUAACUAGGAUUGACAGAUUGAUAGCUCUUUCAUGAUUUUAUGGGUGGUGGUGCAUGGCCGUUCUUAGUUGGUGGAGUGAUUUGUCUGGUUAAUUCCCGAUAACGACACGAGACCUUAACCUGCUAAAUAGCCAGGCCGUCUUUGGAUGGUCGCCGGCUUCUUAGAGGGACUGUACAGCGUCUAGCUGACGGAAGUUUGAGGCAAUAACAGGUCUGUGAUGCCCUUAGAUGUUCUGGGCCGUACGCGCGCUACACUGACAGAGCCAGCGAGUUUUUUUCACUUGGCCGGAAGGUCUGGGUAAUCUUGUGAAACUCUGUCGUGCUGGGGAUAGAGCAUUGCAAUUAUAUGCUCUUACAACGAGGAUAUAGCYUAGUAUAGCGCAAGUCAUCAGCUUGCGUUGACUUAUCGUGCCGCUGCCMUUSGCAGCAGCACGCGCCCGUC
rnacentral:rRNA from 1 species